CCCAGGUCAGGCGGGACCACCCGCUGAGUUUAAGCAUAUCAAUAAGC
rnacentral:rRNA from 1 species